UACGUAGGGUCCGAGCGUUGUCCGGAAUUAUUGGGCGUAAAGGGCUCGUAGGCGGUUUGUCGCGUCGGGAGUGAAAACACGGGGCUUAACCCCGUGCCUGCUUCCGAUACGGGCAGACUAGAGGUAUGCAGGGGAGAACGGAAUUCCUGGUGUAGCGGUGAAAUGCGCAGAUAUCAGGAGGAACACCGGUGGCGAAGGCGGGACUCUGGGCCGAUACUGACGCUGAGGCACGAAAGCGUGGGGAGCAAACAGG
rnacentral:rRNA from 1 species